UACGUAGGGGGCGAGCGUUAUCCGGAUUUACUGGGUGUAAAGGGAGCGUAGACGGUUAAUCAAGUCUGAAGUGAAAGCCCGCGGCUCAACUGCGGAACGGCUUUGGAAACUGAGUAACUGGAGUGCUGGAGGGGCAGGCGGAAUUCCUGGUGUAGCGGUGAAAUGCGUAGAUAUCAGGAGGAACACCGGUGGCGAAGGCGGCCUGCUGGACAGUAACUGACGUUGAGGCUCGAAAGCGUGGGGAGCAAACAGG
rnacentral:rRNA from 1 species